rnacentral:lncRNA from 1 species
CGGAAGGAGAAUCAUAAUCAUAGACACAGGUAGAAGAAGCAGUAUUCACAAAAUCAAAAUAGGUAGACAUGUAGAAAGAAAGGGGGAAAGAAGAAUGCAAUGAAAAUAUGCAACUAAAGCUAUCUAAAUGCAACAACACAUAAUGACGAACACACAAAACGGAACAUCACACUCACAACACAGGACAAGACACAACACACACUAACACAACAAAAGACCUAAAACCGAACCAUUGGUCCCCGACAACGGCGCCAAAAUUUUGAUGGGUGUCGCACCCCAUGCAAAAUUUAAUGAGCAUAAAAGAAUGCAGUAUAGACUAGGAAAUGACUCCUAGGUCAUCUCUCAAGGACCAAAUGUAGUUCGAGAAUUAGGUCACACACGAAGUGGGGGGGGGUUGUGAAAGGUUUGUGGUGAAUGCGGAUGAACUAAAUCAAAACACAGACGCAGACUGAUAAUUAAACACAAGUCUAAAAACGGUUUCAAAGACAGACUGAAAAUGGUUGGUCAUUAACUUAAUUCCAAUGCUUCCUAUCACGGAUCAACAAAAUAAAACCGACUGAAACCUCUAAUCCAACAUUAUUAAUCAACUAAGCGCAGGCUAAUUAUUUUUCCAUAAAAGCGGACUAAGUGAACGCAAUGUUAACAUCAAAUCUAAUUUACACCAUACAGUUUCAUCAACUAAGAGAAGACUCAACACCAACUGGACAACUAAGUGUAUACCUAAUUGCAAGUGCAAACACAGAUUUGAUAUUAACCAAGUCAGAGUGNCAAUCACACAUA